rnacentral:misc_RNA from 1 species
UCCCGGUUAACCCGGGCAGUCUCACUAGAGUUCCCACCUUUACGUGUUGGCAACUAGUGAUAAGGGUUGCGCUCGUUGCGGGACUUAACCCAACACCUCACGGCACGAGCUGACGACAGCCAUGCAGCACCUGUGCAUAGGCCCCUAAGGGAAACACUGUUUCUAGUGUCGUCCUAUGCAUGUCAAGCCUGGGUAAGGUUCUUCGCGUUGCAUCGAAUUAAACCACAUGCUCCACUGCUUGUGCGGGUCCCCGUCAAUUCUUUUGAGUUUCAGCCUUGCGACUGUACUUCCCAGGCGGUAUACUUAUCGCGUUAGCUCCGACACAACUGGGGUUGAGUCCAGUUACAUCAAGUAUACAUCGUUUACGGCAAGGACUAC